AGCGAACGCUGGCGGCAGGCCUAACACAUGCAAGUCGAACGAACUCUUCGGAGUUAGUGGCGGACGGGUGAGUAACACGUGGGAACGUGCCUUUUGGUUCGGAAUAACUCAGGGAAACUUGUGCUAAUACCGAAUGUGCCCUUCGGGGGAAAGAUUUAUCGCCAUUAGAGCGGCCCGCGUCUGAUUAGCUAGUUGGUGAGGUAACGGCUCGCCAAGGCGACGAUCAGUAGCUGGUCUGAGAGGAUGACCAGCCACACUGGGACUGAGACACGGCCCAGACUCCUACGGGAGGCAGCAGUGGGGAAUCUUGCGCAAUGGGCGAAAGCCUGACGCAGCCAUGCCGCGUGAAUGAUGAAGGUCUUAGGAUUGUAAAAUUCUUUCACCGGGGACGAUAAUGACGGUACCCGGAGAAGAAGCCCCGGCUAACUUUGUG
rnacentral:rRNA from 1 species